GAUGAAGAACGUAGCGAAAUGCGAUAAGUAAUGUGAAUUGCAGAAUUCAGAGAAUCAUCGAAUCUUUGAACGCACAUUGCGCCCGCCAGUAUUCUGGCGGGCAUGCCUGUUCGAGCGUCAUUUCAACCCUCAGGCCCCCAGUGCCUGGUGUUGGGGAUCGGCCCAGCCUUCCUGUAAGGCCGCCGGCCCCGAAAUCUAGUGGCGGUCUCGCUGUAGUCCUCCUCUGCGUAGUAGCACAACCUCGCAGUUGGAACGCGGCGGUGGCCAUGCCGUUAAACACCCCACUUCUGAAAGUUGACCUCGGAUCAGGUAGGAAUACCCGCUGAACUUAAGCAUAUCAAUAAGCGGAGGA
rnacentral:misc_RNA from 1 species